rnacentral:lncRNA from 1 species
GUUUGUGUUUCUUUUAGGGCUGAAAGUCUGAGUUUGUACAUUUUUUGUUGUUGUUGAAUGUUGAUUGUGGUUUGUGUUUCUGAUGAGAAUAAAAAUUGUAUUCCACUUUAGAUGGUUUGUUUUUGUCAUGCAUCCACAAAUCAGAAGCCGUUGAGUGUUAUGAGAUUUUUCUUUUAGAGACAUUAAGGAAGCAGCAGGGAUCACAUGAGACAGGAAGGGAAAUGAGAAUACAGCUCCAGAGGGAAGGUAGAAAGUGUGGUGUGUAUCUUAAGUCCUUCAGUUACAGCCAUGUUUCACCUGUGUCUUAGCCCCUCCCACUUAAGCUGCAAGGAAUGAAGGAGCCGAGGAGACGUAAGGAGGUCCUUUGAGAUGGCAGCGGGAGCGAUCGGUCGAAGGAGCUGGGCUGUAGCUGUGGGUUUAGUUGGAACGAUGCAGGAAGUAUUCAGUGUUUGUGUAAUGCAGCCGGUCAUCCAGCAGGAGGGGCUACAGGCUGCUGAUGGAGAAGCUCUGUGUCUGAGUCCAAGACAAAGUCAUUAUAAAUGGAAAAACACUGGUUUGCCAGAGAAGCUCGGUUCAAAGCGGCUCCUGUCAUCUCAUAGUGGCAGUGACAGUGACUGUACUUAGACAGUUUUCAGCAGACCAGUUCUCCCUGUUUGUAAAAAAUCAUCUCCAGCUUUGUUUCUGCCGAUAGAAACGGAGAGAAAGUGAAAUUGGAGUCUCCUCCCUCCCUCCGUUCUCCUUGUCCUCCUCCGUCCUCCUGCGGCCAGUCGAUUGGUCGGUGUGGACGGUGGAAACUGCAGGACGGAGGCUCCGGGUUCUUCAGUCUGACCCCGACCGCUGCCUCGCGGCAAGUGUGGGGCACCGUGACCCCGCCAGGGGCAUCCCAGUCUGAGAGAGAGCGCCUCUUGGAGGUCAAAGGUCACCCCGCAGCAGCUUCACCUCCUCGCUGGCUGAGCCUUGUUAGCACUCCUCCUCAACAUACAAA